UACGUAGGGGGCAAGCGUUGUCCGGAAUCAUUGGGCGUAAAGCGCGUGUAGGCGGCCAGGUAAGUCCGUUCUGAAAGCCCGGGGCUCAACCCCGGGAGGCGGAUGGAUACUGCUUGGCUCGAGUCCGGAAGAGGCGAGUGGAAUUCCCGGUGUAGCGGUGAAAUGCGCAGAUAUCGGGAGGAGCACCAAUGGCGAAGGCAGCUCGCUGGGACGGUACUGACGCUGAGACGCGAAAGCGUGGGGAGCAAACAGG
rnacentral:rRNA from 1 species